rnacentral:misc_RNA from 1 species
UCCGAGUUGACCCCGGCAGUCUCCUGCGAGUCCCCGCCAUUACGCGCUGGCAACACAGGACAAGGGUUGCGCUCGUUGCGGGACUUAACCCAACAUCUCACGACACGAGCUGACGACAGCCAUGCACCACCUGUGAACGGCCCCGAAGGACCCGACAUCUCUGCCGGAUUUCCGUCCAUGUCAAACCCAGGUAAGGUUCUUCGCGUCGCAUCGAAUUAAUCCGCAUGCUCCGCCGCUUGUGCGGGCCCCCGUCAAUUCCUUUGAGUUUCAGUCUUGCGACCGUACUCCCCAGGCGGCGAACUUAACGCGUUAGCUUCGAUACUGCGUGCCAAAUUGCACCCAACAUCCAGUUCGCAUCGUUUAGGGCGUGGACUAC